rnacentral:rRNA from 1 species
CCCUUAGAUGUUCUGGGCCGCACGCGUGCUACACUGAGUGGAUCAGCGGGUCAGGUUGCGCGAAAGUGUUUCCUUAUCUUGAAAUCCGCUCGUGAUGGGGAUUGACGGUUGCAAUUUUCCGUCAUGAACGAGGAAUACCUUGUAAGCGCGGGUCAUCAUCCCGCGCUGAAUACGUCCCUGCCCUUUGUACACACCGCCCGUCGCUCCUACCGAUUGAGUGGUCCGGUGAGGCUUUGGGAUCUGAGCGGAAAGAGCGUUUCGCUGUUUCUGCUCGGAAAACCCAGUCGAACCUUAUCAUUUAGAGGAAGGAGAAGUCGUAACA